UACGGAGGGUGCAAGCGUUAAUCGGAAUUACUGGGCGUAAAGGGCUCGUAGGCGGUCUGUCGCGUCGGGAGUGAAAACUCAGGGCUUAACCCUGAGCCUGCUUCCGAUACGGGCAGACUAGAGGUAUGCAGGGGAGAACGGAAUUCCUGGUGUAGCGGUGGAAUGCGCAGAUAUCAGGAGGAACACCGGUGGCGAAGGCGGUUCUCUGGGCAUUACCUGACGCUGAGGAGCGAAAGUGUGGGGAGCGAACAGG
rnacentral:rRNA from 1 species